AGAGUUUGAUCAUGGUCUCAGAUUGAACGCUGGCGGCAGGCCUAACACAUGCAAGUCGAGCGGAAACGAGUUAUCUGAACCUUCGGGGAACGAUAACGGCGUCGAGCGGCGGACGGGUGAGUAAUGCCUAGGAAAUUGCCCUGAUGUGGGGGAUAACCAUUGGAAACGAUGGCUAAUACCGCAUAAUGCCUACGGGCCAAAGAGGGGGACCUUCGGGCCUCUCGCGUCAGGAUAUGCCUAGGUGGGAUUAGCUAGUUGGUGAGGUAAUGGCUCACCAAGGCGACGAUCCCUAGCUGGUCUGAGAGGAUGAUCAGCCACACUGGAACUGAGACACGGUCCAGACUCCUACGGGAGGCAGCAGUGGGGAAUAUUGCACAAUGGGCGCAAGCCUGAUGCAGCCAUGCCGCGUGUGUGAAGAAGGCCUUCGGGUUGUAAAGCACUUUCAGUCGUGAGGAAGGUAGUGUAGUUAAUAGCUGCAUUACUUGACGUUAGCGACAGAAGAAGCACCGGCUAACUCCGUGCCAGCAGCCGCGGUAAUACGGAGGGUGCGAGCGUUAAUCGGAAUUACUGGGCGUAAAGCGCAUGCAGGUGGUUUGUUAAGUCAGAUGUGAAAGCCCGGGGCUCAACCUCGGAAUAGCAUUUGAAACUGGCAGACUAGAGUACUGUAGAGGGGGGUAGAAUUUCAGGUGUAGCGGUGAAAUGCGUAGAGAUCUGAAGGAAUACCGGUGGCGAAGGCGGCCCCCUGGACAGAUACUGACACUCAGAUGCGAAAGCGUGGGGAGCAAACAGGAUUAGAUACCCUGGUAGUCCACGCCGUAAACGAUGUCUACUUGGAGGUUGUGGCCUUGAGCCGUGGCUUUCGGAGCUAACGCGUUAAGUAGACCGCCUGGGGAGUACGGUCGCAAGAUUAAAACUCAAAUGAAUUGACGGGGGCCCGCACAAGCGGUGGAGCAUGUGGUUUAAUUCGAUGCAACGCGAAGAACCUUACCUACUCUUGACAUCCAGAGAACUUUCCAGAGAUGGAUUGGUGCCUUCGGGAACUCUGAGACAGGUGCUGCAUGGCUGUCGUCAGCUCGUGUUGUGAAAUGUUGGGUUAAGUCCCGCAACGAGCGCAACCCUUAUCCUUGUUUGCCAGCGAGUAAUGUCGGGAACUCCAGGGAGACUGCCGGUGAUAAACCGGAGGAAGGU
rnacentral:rRNA from 1 species